ACGAACGCUGGCGGCGUGGAUAAGACAUGCAAGUCGAACGCUUGUCUCUGGGUAGCAAUAUUCAGGGGCAGGAGUGGCGCAAGGGUGCGUAACACGUGGAUCAUCUGCCUGGAAGUUCGGAAUAAUUCCGCGAAAGCGGGACUAAUGCCGGAUGUGGAUGGAAGUCUAAAGCUGGGGACCGCAAGGCCUGGCGCUUCCAGAUGAGUCCGCGGCCUAUCAGCUAGUUGGCGGGGUAAUGGCCCACCAAGGCUAAGACGGGUAGCUGGUCUGAGAGGACGACCAGCCUCACUGGAACUGAGACACGGUCCAGACACCUACGGGUGGCAGCAGUCGAGAAUUUUUCUCAAUGGGGGAAACCCUGAAGGAGCGACGCCGCGUGGGGGAUGAAGGGCUUCGGCCCGUAAACCCCUGUCAUUUGCGAAC
rnacentral:rRNA from 1 species